GUAGUCUCGCACAGACGCAUAUCAAUAAGCGGAGGAAAAGAAACUAACAAGGAUUCCCUUAGUAACGGCGAGUGAAGCGGGAAGAGCUCAAAUUUGAAAUCUUGAAAGGUCACCUUUCACGAAUUGUAGUCUAAAGAAGUGUUUUCUGUUACGAUCGUAAUAUAAGUUCUUUGGAAUAGGACAUCACAGAGGGUGAGAAUCCCGUCUAUGAUUGCGAUUUGUAGCUUUGUGAUUACACUUUCAAAGAGUCGGGUUGUUUAGGAAUGCAGCCCAAAACGGGAGGUAAAUUUCUUCUAAGGCUAAAUAAUUGGCGAGAGACCGAUAGCGAACAAGUACCGUGAGGGAAAGAUGAAAAGAACUUUGAAAAGAGAGUUAAAUAGUACGUGAAAUUGUCAAAAGGGAAGCGUUUAACACCAGUGUUGUUUUCUGAAAAUCAACCUCUGUUAGCUUUAUGCAUGUUUGUUUAGACCUAAUCAGCUAUCUUGCAUGUUCUAUUGUUUGCAGUGGUGCACUUUUCAGUUUACAGGUCAACAUCAGUUUUUUUUACCGUAAAAAAGUUAAAGAAAGGUAGCUCAUGGCUCCGGUCGUGAGUGUUAUAGUCUUUUUCCUAUGCGGUAGGAGAGACUGAGGUCUGCAGUGUAGGCUAUUUGGCUAGAUACUCAGGUGCUAUGUGAUACCAUUUCAUAAACAACUUGUUGAUUAUGUUUUGUCUAUUGCAUACUCGCUUGUACUAUCAUACCUACGCUUAGGAUGUUGAGUCGUAGAGCACGCAG
rnacentral:rRNA from 1 species